CGUACUAUGACAGCGCAGACAGCCGCCCGCCCAGCUCCUCCGUGGGCCCCGAUGCUUCGCGGGCCGCAGCUGAGUCACUGCCAAGAGCGGGCCCGGCGGGUGGCGGACAGGCUGGUCAGAGCCAGGAAGAGCAGCAGCCGCCGGCGCCUCCGGGAGCUGGCUGAGAGCAAGUCCGCAGGCCCGAGGAGGAGCCGGGGGCAGCGCAGUGACUGUCGCGGGUGUCAUUCUGGACUCAGGAAAAUUCAGCCACCUACCCAAACAAUAUGAAGAUUUCCUACGUUGAACCUGCCAUUCUUCUUAACUCCUUUGCUCUGUCUUUGAUCUCUCCACUGACAACACAAUACCUGUAUAGGAGAAUAUGGGAAGAAACAAGCAACUACAGCUUUGCCCUUGAUAACAAUAUUUCUGAGUGUGACAAAAACAAAAGCAGCCCAAUUUUUGYAGUCCAGAAGGAAGUUCAGGAAAAAGUGUCUUUAUUUAGCCUACAGAUGGAGAUAAGUGGUUUAAUUCCUGGCCUGUUGUCUACGUUCAUUCUUCUAUCUAGUAGUGAUCRCCACGGGCGAAAAUUCCCUAUGAUUUUAUCUUCCGUUGGUUCUCUUGCAACCAGCAUUUGGAUCUAUUUGCUUUCCUACUUUGCCUUUCCAUUCCAGCUUUUGAUUGCAUCUACCUUCAUUGGUGCAUUUUGUGGCAAUUAUACAACAUUUUAUGGAGCUUGCUUUGCCUAUAUAGUUGAUCAGUGUAAAGAAUCCAAACAAAAAACAAUUCGAAUAGCUAUAAUUGAUUUUAUGCUUGGACUUGUUACUGGACUAACAGGACUGUCAUCUGGCUAUUUUAUUAGAGAACUAGGUUUUGUAUGGUCAUUUUUAAUUAUUGCUAUAGUUCUUACUGUUAACUUGACAUAUAUUUUAUUUUUACUUGAUAAUCCAAUGAAAGAGUCUUCAACUCAGAAUGUUACCAUAUCAUGUAGUGAAGGCUUUAAAGAUCUAUUUUACCGAACUUACAUACUUUUUAAAAAUGCUUCUGGUAAGCAACGGCUUUUGCUCUGUUUGUUACUUUUUACAAUGAUCACUUUUUUCUUCGUAAUAAGUGGCAUUUCCCCAGUUUUUAUCCUUUAUGAAUUGGGUCCCCCACUCUGCUGGAAUGAAAUUUUUAUAGGUUAUGGAUCAGCUUUGGGUAGUAUCUCCUUUUUGAGUAGCUUCCUAGGAAUUUGGCUUUUUUCUUAUUGCAUGGAAGAUAUUCAUAUGGCCAUCAUUGGAAUUUUUACCACCAUAGCAGGAAUGGCCACAGCUGCUUUUGCUAGAACUACACUGAUGAUGUUUUUAGUCCGGGUGCCAUUCCUUUUCACUAUUAUGCCACUCUCUGCCCUGCGAUCCAUGUUGUCAAAAGUAGUCCGUCCUACUGAACAAGGUACCCUGUUUGCUUGUAUCGCUUUCUUAGAAACACUUGGUGGAGUCACUGCGGUUUCUGCUUUUAAUGGAAUUUAUUCAGCCACAGUUGCUUGGUACCCCGGCUUCACUUUCCUGCUAUCUGCUGGCCUGUUGUUCAUUCCAGUGAUCAGUCUAUGGGCUGUCAAAUGCAUAAACUGGAGGGAGGAGAGCAAUGCACUUCUUGUACAGGAAGAGUCCAGUGAUGACACUUCAGACAGGUGACUGUGUACAGUGAUACACCCAUCAUAUCCUGAGACUCCUGAAGAAUACAGACUAACUGCACGAUCGGUGCUUGAUUAAUAGUCAACAUUACAUAUCCUUCCUUUCUCAUAAACCCGACAAUCGGAGAAAUAGCACCUGGCUUUCGCUUUGAGCACUUUGUGCUCACCAUGCACUCUAUUCCCAACACAAGGAAGAACAAUCUUCAAAACACCUUGCACUUUUGGACUUACAAAGAAACCACAACUAAAAAGUGGAAGGAGGGAUUAAGAAACUGACAUGGUCAAAAGCAAUAAUUUCGCUGACAUACUCUAGUCUCUCAUGCUGAAAUCAAGGAGAAGAUUUUUACCUCACUUUCUUCACUGGCAAAACAGGUUUCUGACCUGUCUCAGGGAUUUUGAAGGUGAUUCCAAAAUGUGGCCAGGAUUGAAAAUCACUACUCUAGGUCAUGACACCAGAAAGAAGUAAAAGGACAAAGUACAGCUGACAGAGUACGUCUACUGGCUCAGAAAUAAAUUAAGAUCUGGAGAGGCAAGAAUGCAGAGGUGGUAUUGGUCAAAGAGCCAUACGAUGCUGUGCCAAAUAAUUCUCAAUACGUGCCAACCCCUCAAUACUUCCAGAUGGUAAAACCUAUCAACUUCUUUGUUCUCAUAUGUAUUAAAACGAUUUUAAAGGAAAUACUAAACUAAUUCUCCAAGAAAAAUCAUAACAUCUAAAAGAAAAAAAAUACCUAAUUGAAAAGUUUGAAGGUAACUUGAAGGGACCUGCAAUUGCCUUUGAAGGAAUCCAAAUAAUUUCUCAAUGUAGACUGCAGAUUAAGAAACACUAGAAAACUCAAUAGCUCAUACUAGUAAGAAGGGAAAGCAAGUAAAAAAAAAAGAAAGCAAGUACCCUGAAGAGUGUCUCAAAAAUAUGCUUCUUAGGAUCCACUCUAGUCUAGUCCUCUUAGAAUUUGUGAAAUCCAGAUCCUGACAUCAAAAUUUCUUCAAAAUUCCUAGCUGUUACAUGCAUUCAGGAAUGAGAAUCACUGACAUAAAAAUAAAGAAGGUGAAAGAGGAAAAGGAGAGAAGAAGCAAAAAGAUCAUCGGAAAGUAAGCACUAUCCAAGAGUACCACUUCCUAAAUUUAAAACUUCAGAUUUUCCAUUCAAACUAUCUCAUUAAUUUCAUAUGCCCUCUACUGGUCAGGAGGGGAAUGAAUAUUAUUUCUACAACAAGGGAACMGAAAUCUCCAACUUGUAGGUAAAAGUAAACAUAUCUAGAAAAAAUUAAUUAGUGAAUCUUUGUUGUUUCUAUAAUUUCAUUGUUUAUAAAUAGAGCAAUUGGCAAAGACAAUUUUAAGUUUAUCUCAAUAGCCAGAGCAAGAGAGAUUUCUUUAAAUGUACCAUCUGAUUUAUCUCAAGUUUUGCCAACCUUGGCACUACUAACAUUUUCAACUAAAUAAAUUUUGGUUGCAGAGAGUAAACAAUAGAUGCAGAAAAUUCUAGAAUAUUCACUGGUAAUUUUUUUUUAAAGACAUAGAAGACUACUGUUUUAAUAAAAAUUGAGUUUUAAAGUCCUUUCCCUAGUGUCUUCAGUUUGUUACAUGAUCAUAAAUUAAUGUCCUAUGCAUUCUAGGAUAGCUGUGUUCCCGGCUCCUACCCACUAGAUGCCAGUAGCAACCCACCUAAAGUUGUGAAACCACAAAUGUCUCUAAAUAUUGAUGAAUGUUUUAAAUCAAUGAUUAUUUAAAAGAUUUUCUGAAAAAAAACUAAUCAAAACAUUUUAGAAUUAGUGAAAAAUGACCCAUGCACUAAUGUUCUAAAAAUCUUUAAUUUUUAUAUAGCAGGUUCAUAAAGAAUAUUUUAUAAGAAGAGUAAUCAUGGUAAAAAUUGCUUAAAAAAAUUAUUAUGAAAUUUGUUCAGGGACGCAUAACAUGUAUAAAAAUGAGUCUUACUUCCUUUAAAGAGUGUUGCUUGCUCAUAUAUCAAAUACAUAUUAAAUCCAUGAAGUACAUGAAUUCAAUCUACAUUUGCUGGUUGCUUUAAUUUUUCACUCAAAGACAAAAUCAAAACCCCUGAAAUUAAAAUUUUUCAUCAUAAAAGAUCUCAUGGCUGUAAUUCUAAAAUACCAUCAAUGUAACAAAUAUUCUUCUCACAGACUAUAAUGAAACAUGAUAAAUAUCUUCUAUACUCAAUUUGAAGUGCUAUCAUUGAAAUUAAUUACAAAUGUUUAUUCUGAAAGAUGUUGCUAUGAAGUUGGUAGAUUGAAAUAUUGAYACUGGUUAUUUUAAAAAAUUAAACUUAUAGAAUAUCUAGAAAGUAAGUUAAAUUAGAACCUGUUGACAAUUUAUAAUAUUCCUGAAAAAUAAUUUUGAAUGACAAAUAAUGCUAUGGUUUUACUAUAAAUUAGGAACUUUAAAAUCAU